AUUAUUUCAUUUUUCACGCAUUUUCCAAUUGAACUUUUAUUAUAUUUAAAAGUAGGAUAACGCUUAUUACAGCGACAACUAUGACAACUUGGAGCAAUGCAGGAUGCCCUGAAGUACGGACUACAGGCGUUUCUUGAACAGUUUGAUUCACAUGAAGUAUUGAUAUAAACACACAGAAGAAGAGUUGAUAUUCGUCCACCCAUCAGAACCUAUUUAGAUCGACGAUAUAUGAUGAAGCCAGAUUGCUAAUGUUUCCCUGCAAGUCUAAACUCGUAUAGUCUUAUAAAACUGAAAUUUGAUAAAUGUCCAACAGGGUAAACAUUCAAAUCUUAUGACAUCCAUAUUAAAAUUUCAUAAAAAUAUUUAUUGUUUGUUUCGUUAUUUACUGAAAGCGACCAUGACUUUUUUCUUCACACAUUGUGUACAAAAAAAAGCCAAAAAAUUACCAUUCCUACGCGAAAGCUCGAGUCACUAUGAACACUUGGAGAUGAUUUCGCCUGGAGAGGAAAAUGACGAGGCAUUGUUUAUCUUUAUGGACAAAAGUAUAUCAGUUUGGUAAUUUUUAUUCAAUUGUAUGUACAUUAAUUUAUUUACAAACUUAUUUUAGCAUGUAAAGAUGUAUUUGUGGAGGUAAUCGCAAAAGGGCCAAAAAUUUUUUAGUCUUGUGAAUGAUAAGCAAAAGAGCUAUUCUUUAAUAAAAUAUCAUAAACUGAUUCUUUUACAAAGUAGCUACUAAUAAUUAAAAUGAUAUUGGAGUGACAACGUCACAAUAUA